UGGGGAAUUUUGCACAAUGGGGGAAACCCUGAUGCAGCGACGCCGCGUGAUUUAGAAGGCCUUCGGGUUGUAAAAAUCUUUUCUAUGGGAAGAAAAUGACAGUACCAUAGGAAUAAGGACCGGCUAAUUACGUGCCAGCAGCCGCGGUAAUACGUAAGGUCCGAGCGUUGUCCGGAAUCAUUGGGCGUAAAGGGUACGUAGGCGGGUAAGCAAGUUAGAAGUGAAAUCCUAUAGCUCAACUAUAGUAAGCUUUUAAAACUGCUCAUCUUGAGGUAUGGAAGGGAAAGUGGAAUUCCUAGGGUAGCGGUGAAAUGCGCAGAUAGUAGGAGGAAUACCGGUGGCGAAGGCGACUUUCUGGCCAUAACCUGACGCUGAGGUACGAAAGCGUGGGUAGCAAACAGG
rnacentral:rRNA from 1 species